rnacentral:ncRNA from 1 species
CGCUGGGGGCGCCGUUUGGCUGAGAUGGACAUAUUUGUCCUGUCCCUUGGAACCUGAUGUGGAUCAUCCCACCGGAGGGAAGCGG